rnacentral:rRNA from 1 species
AAAACAUGUCCUUUUGAUUAAAUUAAUUUAAGGUCUGAUCUGCACCAUGAAGAAUUUAAAUAGCUGCAGUAGCCUGACUGUACAAAGGUAGCAAAAUCAAUAGUUUUUUAAUUGAGAGCUGGAAUGAAUGAUUUGAUGAAGGAAUAAUUGUCUCAGUUUUAAUAAUUUUUUAAAUUUAUUUUUAGUAAAAAAUCUAAAAUGAUUUUUAAAGACGAGAAGACCCUAUAGAUUUUUAUAAAUAAAUUUAUUUUUAAUUUAAAAUAAUAAAUUUAUUUAUUAAGUUGGGGAAACUAUUAAAUUAAAUUAACUUUAAAAUUUAUUAACUUAAACAAUAAUUAUUGAAUUUAAGAUUUUUUAUUAAAAAUCAUUAGAAUUAAAUACCUUAGGGAUAACAGCGUAAUUUUUUUGGAGAGUUCUUAUUGAUAAAAAAGUUUGCGACCUCGAUGUUGAAUUAAGAUUUAAUUUUAAUGUAGAUGUUAAAAGUUUUUGGUCUGUUCGACCAUUAAAAUCUUACGUGAUCUGAGUUCAGA